UUUUUCUUCUUCCUGCGACUGCAGAGAUGAAGGGAAUGAAGGUUAGCUCAUGAAUGGUAUGGGGCUGGUGUUUUGGAGUAUACUGGGGGUGGCAGCAGGGGCAACUAUUUGGGAGUUAAAAGGUCCUGGCGCUGGAUAUAGAGAUGGAUUGUGGCAAAGGACUACUAUGAGAAAAUAGAAAAGGAGGCAAGCUGUAAUUGUGUUUAUCAAUCCUUUUGAAUUUUGAAACUUCAAUUUCCACAAAAGAGCUGAUGGAUGGAUGUCAAGAAAAAUGUCGCUGGGGACUUAUUCCUUGUUGGAGUAAUUAACACGCCAGAAUCCUGCUAGGACAUCUCUGCCUGUGGAAGGAGGGCUGGAUGGCAUACUGGGAAUGGCUUUCUAGGAUGACUUCCUGUUGCUACAGACUACAAGAAGCAUUUCUGGCCUUGAUGUUGUCUGAAUGAAGAAGACAUAGGAGUUUCACCAAAGUAUAGCUCCCUGAAACCAGAUGGAUCAUGGCAGAUGAUAGUGGCUACUCUAAACUUGACCAAGUAGCUUCCACAAUUGAAGUCCCAAGCUGGAGCCUACAGGAAUGAGGAAGCAGGAAGGGCCAGAGUGAAGUGGAAACUUUGAACUUGAAGUUGGAAGACACUGGUACUCAUCUCUUCUAUUUGCUAGCUGUAUGAUCUUGGGCAACUUAUUUAAUUUAUCUUCCUCCAGUUUACUCAUUGAUUAAAUGAAGGUAACAAUUUUAUCUCAUAGGGAUAUGGGGAUGAUCGAGAGAGAUAAUAAAAGUGAAAGUGUUUUGAAAAGCA
rnacentral:lncRNA from 1 species